AAUUUUUUAAGUUUUUGCAUUAAAUUCAUAUAUAGUGAAUAUAAAAUUCAAAGAACAAGAAUUUGAAAAGACAAAUAAUUUACUUUCUUCCAUUGUUAUGGGUGUUCCAAAAAUGGAACACUAGUCAUUUAAGGGUUAAAAAUCUUAGCAGUAAUUUUUUUGCUUGAUUCAAAUAAAGAGGGAAAACAUAAAGGUUAUCCAUAUUAGAUACGAAGUUCCAUUUUGAUAUAUGAAUUCUAAUAAAUGGAUUGCAUUAUUUCCUUUUCUAGAAACAGUAACUCAAGAGCAUGUGGAUCCUGGGAACAAAAGGUACUGGCUAGUUGUUUUACAUACAUCUCAAAGCCCUCUGAGGUAAGUACUUCUUUUUAAAUUUAAUUUAAUUUAAUUUUAGCGAUGCUGGGGAUCAAACCUCACAUAUGCUAGACAAGUACUAUAAAACUGGGCUACAGUCCUAUCCUAGAAGUAAUGUUUUAUAAACAAGUAGAGAUAAAGUAGAUGAAGUAACGUUUUCCCCAGGGUCACAGUUGCCAUUUGCGGAAUGAUACUAAAUAUUAGCAGCUAUAAGGAAGAUUACAGAAACACCACACACUGCAGAGUGGUUUGGUAGUUCUUUGGGAAAGUAUUAUUUUUGUUUUUGGCAACUACAGCAUUUGACUGGGCACCAACAUGGUGGCAUUGGAUAAAAGAAAAUGCCCCAGCAGUAAGUACACUGGUGGGAACCCCUAUCCCACCCCUACCCCCAGCCCACCCCACCUGCAACCUGCUGGCAACUGAAACUUCCAAGAAAGUGCUCCCUCUAUCUGUGAGUUGGAAAAACAUCACUACAAGCCCUGUACCAUGAGGCUUCCAGAGAUUUGUGCUUACCAGAAAUCAACCAAGAUUCUCAUUUGGAAGCUGCCUUUCAGAGGCUGGUGAGAGAGAUUACCCAGGAUUUCAAAACUGACUUGAGGUUUCAGAGUGCAGCCAUUGGGGUCUUCAGGAGCCUAGUGAAUAAAGCCUUGUGGCUUUAUUUGGAGAUACUAAUCUGUGUGCCAUCCACACCACGAGAGUCACCUUCAUGCCCAAAGACAUCCAGUUGGCUCACUGGAUACGGGGAGAGAAAGCUUAAGUAAAGACAAUUUUUAUGGAAUUUUGUAUGUAGUAAAUUCUGUAAAAUACUUUGGUUUAAUUGGUGACUUUUUGUAAGAAAUUGUUUAUAAUAUGUUAUAUUUGUACUGAAGUCAUUCUGUCUUUCUCUUGGAUGAAUGGGGAGAGUGACUGUUCCAGACCUCGGUGAUGUGAGCACUGUUGCUCAGGAGUGACAAGGUGCUAAUCUGCAGAAGGAUGGUUGACAGUUCUUGCUUCUCAUGAUGCAUGUUUCUGUAUGUUAAUGACUUGUUGGGUAGCUAUUAAGGUAGUAGAACUGAUAAAUGUGUGUACAGGGUUCUUCUGCAAUAAAACACGUUAUGAUUUGAUCCAAGUGUUUAACAACUGGGGCUGGUAAGUCUCACCAUACAUUACUGUGAGGGAAUGUGGACUGCUUCAAGGGUGAACAUACAAGUCUUAACCAUGGUGUAACUUUCCUAGGAAAAGGUAAUCUUGGCAGCUGU
rnacentral:lncRNA from 1 species